rnacentral:lncRNA from 1 species
AUGGUACCAAGCUUAUUAGAAAUUGUAUACAUUAAUGAUAAAUAUGAAAAGAUUAUUAGAUUCUCUAUCUCAAAUUUCUUAUUUUUAACUACCAUAUUUUUUGUUGUAAGUACUAGAGCAAGGAACAAAGACAACUAAACACAAACCGGAGAGAAAUCGCAAUACGCAAAUAAACCAACAAUCACAAAAAUUAGACAAAAUAAAUGGCAAAAGAAUUAAAAGAAGAAGAACUCCUUAGGCGUCCCAAACAUUUCGCUUGUUUUUCUUGCUAUCCGAUGCACUCUAAGGAAAACGUCAUGCAAUGACUCCAUGUGGUAGUGACGUCGGGUCUCAUUUUGAGAUUCCGUUGCGAGAGUCUCGAAUUAAGACUUCAUGUGCUCCAAAGUGUACAUGUAAAGAAAAAGAAAAGUAAAGAAAUAAGUAAAAGGAUAUCUCAUUCUUUAUUAAGUAAACAUGAGAAUAAACAAGACAAAAAGAAUAUAACCUAUGCAACAUCUAUAAUAUAAGUAGGGUUGACAUAUUAACAUAUUCAUAUCCUAGCAAGUUGCAUCUAGAGAUAAACAGAAACUCACAUCUCACAUUUUAAUCAUUGGGAUUAAUCGUUGCUGGUUAAAUUAAAGGCAUGCUUUACUCAAGUGAAAGUAGGCAAAAUCAACCACUUCAAAACAUACUCAAAUUCUUAGCUAACCUUUGAGACCAACUACCCUUAAGCAAAUAUAAGAUCCCAAGAAUGGAGUGCCUAACAUAUUAUUAUCAGAAUGUUUUUCUUUCUUCUUAUCAUAGAAAAAAAAUCAAAAUACCAUAGCUAGCACUUUAUUAACAAAAAAAAAAUUAAUAAAUAUAUUCCUUUAUUAAAGGUAAGAACUUAGAUUUUCUGCUCAAGUUAAAUCUCAUAGGCCUUAGGAUCAGAACAAAUUUAUUCUAAUAGUACAUACUAAAGUUACUUUAAAAUCAACAAAAUACACCAAACUUGCAAGGAAAUCUAUAAGCACACGUCAUAUUUAUACUAACAUGUGUUUUUUAUAAGCUAUUUUAUUAGAGGUACUUUAAAUUUUAUAGUUAUGGCAUCUAGUUUAUAUGAACAAGAAGAAAACCUAUUGUCACUUGGCUUCAUCAAAAUAUAUGUGCAGUAGCUAUUAACAUGUGUUUUUUAUGGCACUAUUAAAGAAGAUAUAAACCUAAAAAAACUUAUGUCUUUGAAAAAUACAGAAAUCAUAGAUUUCUAAUCAAUAGAAUCACAACCUGCAGCCUAGUACCCUAGGCAUAACACUUGGUUAAAGAAGCUAAGCUCUAAUUCCAUGCCUUUAAUUAAAGAAACAACAUAUCGUAAGAGUUAUGAUGUUCAAAUCAAGAGCCAUAAUUUAGCAACUAAUAUAUAUUAAUCAUCGAAAAUCUACACUCUUUUGCAGUUAAAAUACACACUUCCUUAUGGGCAUGACUUCUACACAUAGAUGAAUUCUAUAACAAUAUUUUUUUCAUCGAAAACAGAACUGAAACACAUAUUUUCAUGUGAUAGCAAACAUUAACUUUGAAUCCCAAAAAAUAAGAAAGAGAACAGGAGGAAAAAUCUUCAAAGUCACUGGCCUAUUGCGGGGCAGUGAACUAGGCAUUUGUCGAUGGCUACUCGACUUUCCGAUUCAAGUCUCGUGAACAGAACAGAAGACCGCUGCUCGCAAAACUAAAGGGAUCUAGACAAGUAUGACACUAAUAGUAGUUUUGAAGGGUGCACGGUAAGGUUUUUAGGGGUUAAAGGGGUGACUAAAACUUAAGGUUCAAGGAAGGGGCUAAAGCUUGUACAUUUAAAGAGAGGUACAACGGCUCCAAAAGCUCUCCCCAAUAUAUUCCAAAUGCUAAUAUUUAUAGGUGAAGAAGUAGGAUUUUGGCCUUUUUGAGGGAAUUCAAAAUUGGGCUUGAAUAUUGAUAAAAAUGACGGCUUCAAUCCGAACACUGGAGACAAGGCAAAGAAUCGUCCUUUCUUUGAGAUGGUUUUGAUUUAUUUUCUCAAAAUGGUAAAGUCAAUGUUGUACUUUUGAAAGAAGAUUCAUGUUUUGAAGUAAAAAAGAAGAAAGAGUGUGGGGAAGCCCUGACACAGGGGGGCAAAUCUGAAAAUUU